rnacentral:misc_RNA from 1 species
UACUUGGUCUUGAAACCGAAAUUGUAGGUCGGGAUCAGCUCCAUGCCCAGCACGGUCUGAUAGAAACGGGCGGACUCUUCGAGGUUCUUCGCGCCAAUGGAAAGGUGGUUGAAACCAAGGACUUUCAUGUCUUCACUCCCGCGAGCUUGUUGAGCUUUUUAUUUUAUCACCCGAUAAAUAACGCAACAGAACUGGAAUUGCAAGCACGGCGCAGCCCAGUGCGCCGCACAAAGCGCGCGGCGUACUGAUCUAUCCCUGCCAAAUCUNNNNNNNNCGAUGCGAAGCUGGCCUUUAGACCCUUCGCGGUAGCCUAGUCUGGCCGACCCAGCGCCCUCAAAAUCUGC